AAUUUAAAACUAGUAAAAAUAAUCAUCCAAAACAAAAAAAAAAAAAAGAAAAAAAAAGAAGAAAUUCUCAUGCCCAUGAUUCUUCCUAUAUCUUCAUCCUUAAAUGAACAGAUGGAAUCGGAUCUUGGCAAACUCUUCAUUGGAGGGAUAUCUUGGGACACCGAUGAGGAACGUCUCAAGGAAUAUUUUGGAAAAUAUGGGGAGGUUAUAGAGGCUGUGAUCAUGAGAGAUCGCACCACUGGUCGUGCUCGUGGUUUCGGCUUUGUUGUCUUUGCUGAUCCUGCUGUUGCUGAGAGAGUCAUUGUGGAUAAGCACAUAAUCGAUGGCCGCACGGUUGAAGCAAAGAAAGCUGUUCCUAGGGAUGAUCAGCAGUCCAUAAAUAGACAGUCCGGUAGUGCAAAUGCCUCUCCUGGUCCUGGGCGCACGAAAAAGAUCUUUGUUGGAGGUUUGCCAUCAACUAUCACAGAAAGCGAUUUCAAGAAGUAUUUUGAUCAGUUCGGUACAAUUACUGAUGUUGUAGUAAUGUAUGAUCACAAUACUCAAAGGCCAAGAGGUUUUGGCUUCAUCACAUUUGAUUCGGAAGAAGCUGUGGAUCGAGUUCUUUAUAAAACUUUUCAUGAACUGAAUGGAAAGUUGGUCGAAGUCAAGAGAGCAGUUCCGAAAGAGCUAUCCCCUGGCCCCAGCCGAAGUCCAUUGAUAGGAUAUAACUAUGGUAUAAAUAGGGCCAGUAGCUAUCUAAACAACUACGCUCAGGGUUAUAGUAUGAGUCCAAUAGGAGGAUAUGGCGUCAGGAUGGAUGGUAGGUUUAGUCCUCUUACUAGUGGUAGAAGCGGGUUUACUCCAUUCGGCAACACUGCUUAUGGAAUGGGAGUGAAUCUUGAGUCAGGAUUGAGCCCAAGCUAUGGAGGAACUUCUAGUUACGGGAGCAAUAUAGGAUACGGUCGAAUAUUUAGUCCUUUCUACAGUGGAAACUCGAGCAGAUACACCACUCCUAUAGGCUAUAGUGGGGGAAAUAGCAGAAGCGACUCUAUUAUGAACUCACCUUCUCGAAAUGUCUGGGGAAAUGGAGUCCUGAAUAACGCUAAUAACGCAGUCAGUCCUGGUUCUUUCUUGGGAUCUGGAAGUGGGAGCUUUGGUGUUUCAAUUGGAAAUAGUGGUGCUAAUUGGGGUCCAUCUAUUCCAUCCCAAGCCGGAGGAGCUGCUUCGGGCUAUGCUACGGGGAAUAAUGUUUAUGAAGGUGGAGAAUCCGGCUUUGGGUUAGGUGGGGGAGGGUAUGGAAGAAACAGUGGUACGGGUAUGACUCCAUCCUCUACAUUCGCUGCAUCAACUGGUAGUUUUGAAGGAUCCUAUGGGGAUUUAUACCGAACUGGCAGUGGUUCAGUUUACAAUGACUCUGCUUGGCGAACCGCUUCUUCUGAGAUGGAUGGUUCUGGCUCUUUUGGUUAUGGUCUUGGUGUUAUUGCUUCAGACGACCCUGUAAAGACUUCUGAGGGUUAUAUUGGAAGCUACAAUGUUACAAGUAGACAAUCUAAUAGAGACCACACAAUCUGAUGUUGAAUGUGGAUGACUGAUGCUUAGCUAAUUAAAAGUAUAAGCAACUAAUUUGCGUUGACCUAUCGAGAGUUCGAAUCCCGCUUUGUGCAUGCAGCAACCCAUUAGCCAGCAGCAAACCCUUAAAUGGAGCUCAGAUAUGCAGUGGAUCAGUCCUUGGCUUAUUGGUCUAGGGGAUACCAUGGGAAAUCCAAAAAAAAAAACAUUUAAAAGAAUUGCUGCUUAGGAGAUAUGAUAUUUGGUUAUGUUACAGUAACAGUAGAUCAAGCAAACUGGUCAGAGAAUUAAAAUGAGGUAUUUGUGAAUUCAUAAUGAGAGAAAAUCUGCAUCAGUCAUAUAUAUAUAUAUAUAACAAGAGAGAAAGGUGUUCUUUUGUUUUGAAGUAUACAUAUUCGAAAAACACAGAAAGCAGUUACAAGUGAUUUUGUGUAUGGUUUCCGGUUCCUUUUCGAUCGGUUGCUUUUUUCCCCUCCCUUUUUGUUCUUCUUUUUGUGGAUUAUAUUUUUCAAGAACUAGGGUUCCUUUCUUGGAAUUUGAUUGAGGUGUAAAAUCAGAUUGCGGGAUAUAUACUCAAGAAGAUUUGUUGCAAUAGUGUACUAUUGCGUCUUGGCAGAGACGCCUUCUCCCCUUGUUAGUUUGUUUAAUUAUAGAGGAUUAUUAAUUUUUUUGAAUUUCUUUCUUUUUUCUUUUUGCCAUUGUAAUGCCUGGCACAAAGGUGUUUGUUCUUGUCACCAACUUUUUUCUUUCUUCCUUUUUUUUUUUUUUGUCUGGAAUAUGUAAUUCUGAGAUCAAAUUGUAAGUUGAGGUGCAGUUUGAUUUUAUCAAGUGUGAAAACAUGAGUGGGAUUUGCCUUUAUGGGAUCCCAAUCAAAUAAUUAAAGUUUA